rnacentral:rRNA from 1 species
GAUGAACGCUGGCGGCGUGCCUAAUACAUGCCAGUCGAGCGAACAGACGAGGAGCUUGCUCCUCUGACGUUAGCGGCGGACGGGUGAGUAACACGUGGAUAACCUACCUAUAAGACUGGGAUAACUUCGGGAAACCGGAGCUAAUACCGGAUAAUAUAUUGAACCGCAUGGUUCAAUAGUGAAAGACGGUUUUGCUGUCACUUAUAGAUGGAUCCGCGCCGCAUUAGCUAGUUGGUAAGGUAACGGCUUACCAAGGCAACGAUGCGUAGCCGACCUGAGAGGGUGAUCGGCCACACUGGAACUGAGACACGGUCCAGACUCCUACGGGGGCAGCAGUAGGGAAUCUUCCGCAAUGGGCGAAAGCCUGACGGAGCAACGCCGCGUGAGUGAUGAAGGUCUUCGGAUCGUAAAACUCUGUUAUUAGGGAAGAACAAAUGUGUAAGUAACUAUGCACGUCUUGACGGUACCUAAUCAGAAAGCCACGGCUAACUACGUG